rnacentral:lncRNA from 10 species
GGAAGGAAACAAAGCUUAAGGCAGUGAUUGAUAGGUUAUUUCUUGGACACAGCUGAACGUAUACUGUGCGCCUGCAACUUUCCGGUGGUUUCGGACCGGACUUCAGUGAAGCCAGUGAAGUCGGUCGACUUGCAGAACUUCCUUUCAGAGGGGCGUACACAGCACCGCGGCCGUGUGCCUGUGAUCUCCUUCUGAGUUUGAAAAAGAAGAUCCUAGACACCGAGCCAAAUAUGUUUGCAUAAACCGGGAGACUUGUGGCUCUAUUUUGUAACAGCUUGGCGCAGGGCAGCUGGUUUGGAGAUGUCUCUGUUCUUCCCUUGGUGGGGGUGCCGGAAAAAAUGUGCUGCCUGGGCGAUCGAGGUUGGGGCAAAAGCGUUGCAAAGGAAAAGGUGGGAGGACUCUACUUUCACAUUUCCCAAAAGAGUUUUACCAUAAGACUAUUUCUGGAUUGUUCUAACGUGAGGAUAUUGGGAGCAUUUUGAAAAUACUGGAGGAAAAGCUGUCACUGGGCGAUUUAAAUCCGUUCCUGUAAACAUCUGUCCAGGGCCUGAGCUCAGAAGGCAGAAUCCGUCGUGGAGCGUGUCCAACUCCUACCCCAAGAGCAGCCUCCAUGUUUACCCACGGACUGGGCUCACACACAGGCAGGCAGCUCCGAGCUCUGAGCACCUCAGCAUCCUUGGACUCUGAGCUAGCGUGGUCACAUGUCGGGGGGACAGAGUUCCCCAGCCCUUACCCUGCAGUCUUGCUUCUGAUAGGGAAACCUUGAGCUCGUAGUGACUGUGGGGCUGGCUCUCCAGGACAAGCCCCUCCAGUGGAGCCAGGAACCAGGAUGGAAGGUUGGGUUUGGGGGUGGACUGAUGGCCUGGAGUUCACUGCCACCUAUUUUCUUUUCCUCUUUUUCCAUCUCACCCAGAGCUGUGGGAAGAGGCCUUGACAACAGGUGAGAUUUGGGGCACCUGACUGUGACUUCAACCCAGCAGGUGGGGUUGGCCCAAAGCAGUUCCCCAGCUUGUCCUCUCAGGUCCUCUGGACACCCUUCCCCACCACACAUAACCCUGGACCUUCACAGCUCCCACACCACCAUCCACACCUAGGAAAGGACAUCGGACUGGAGGUCAGGGGCCUAGGAUUCAAGUCCCAGCUCUGCCGACAGCUACCAGUGUAUUCUUGGGCAAGUCACUGAACCUCUGUGGGUCCUGAUUCCCUUACCUGUAAGAGAGUGAUAAUCAUAAGGCCCUCUGCAUUGCUCUAAGGAUCAAGAUAAUGCUUGUGAAAGUCUUCACUGUACUCUAAAGUGUGAUUAAUAUAUAUUCUUUAUCCUGGAAUCUCCUAUCUCCUUUGAGUCCUGUUAAAUAAACCAUGAUGUGAAUGGUUAGUAAUGAAGUGUUUGCCCCCUUUCUAGACAGUUAUUUGUACUUGUAACCAUAACUUUCAAUGCCUUUAUUCAGCGAUAAGAGUACGGAAUUAAUUCCAAGUUCAGACCGGGUGUAGCAGCUCACAUCUGUAAUCCCAGCACUUUGUGAGGUCAAGAUGGGAAGAUCGCUCAAGUUUAGGAGUUUGAGACCAGCCUGAGCAACAUAGGAAGACACUGUCUCUACAAGCAAACAAACAAACAGACAAAAAAACAAUAAAUUACCUGGGCAUGGUGGCACAUGCCUGUAGUCCCAGUUGCUCAGGAGGCUGAGGCAUAAGGAUCACUUGAGCCCAGAAGGUUGAGGCUGCAGUGAGCUGUGAUCACACCAUUACACUCCGACCUGGGUGACAGAGCGAGCCCCUGUCUCAAAAAGAAAAAAGAAAAAGCAAAAAAGAAAAAAUUUCAAGUUUACAGGCAGGCUGGGGAGGAGGAGCAACUUCC